UUGGAGGGCAAGUCUGGUGCCAGCAGCCGCGGUAAUUCCAGCUCCAAUAGCGUAUAUUAAAGUUGUUGCAGUUAAAAAGCUCGUAGUUGAAUUUCGGGGUUCUACCGUCGGUCGGGCUACCAAGUCUGUACUGGUGUGUAGAAUUUCUACCUUCUGGGGAACCAUCAUGUUAUUAAUUUAGCGUGGUGGGAAACCAGGACCUUUACCUUGAAAAAAUUAGAGUGUUCAAAGCAGGCUUAUGUCUGAAUACAUUAGCAUGGAAUAAUAGAAUAGGACGGUGGUCCUGUUUUGUUGGUUUCUGAAUCACCGUAAUGAUUAAUAGGGAUAGUUGGGGGCAUUAGUAUUCAAUUGUCAGAGGUGAAAUUCUUGGAUUUAUUGAAGACUAACUUCUGCGAAAGCAUUUGCCAAGGAUGUUUUCAUUAAUCAAGAACGAAAGUUAGGGGAUCGAAGACGAUCAGAUACCGUCGUAGUCUUAACCAUAAACUAUGCCGACUAGGGAUCGGACGAUGUUAAAUUAUAUUGACUCGUUCGGCGCCUUACGGGAAAC
rnacentral:rRNA from 1 species